UGGUCGGGAUAGCUCAG
rnacentral:tRNA from 1 species